CGCCAGACUCCUACGGGAGGCAGCAGUGGGGAAUAUUGCACAAUGGGGGAAACCCUGAUGCAGCGACGCCGCGUGAGUGAAGAAGUAUUUCGGUAUGUAAAGCUCUAUCAGCAGGGAAGAAAAUGACGGUACCUGACUAAGAAGCCCCGGCUAACUACGUGCCAGCAGCCGCGGUAAUACGUAGGGGGCAAGCGUUAUCCGGAUUUACUGGGUGUAAAGGGAGCGUAGACGGCAGCGCAAGUCUGAAGUGAAGUCCCAUGGCUUAACCAUGGAACUGCUUUGGAAACUGUGCAGCUGGAGUGCAGGAGAGGUAAGCGGAAUUCCUAGUGUAGCGGUGAAAUGCGUAGAUAUUAGGAGGAACACCAGUGGCGAAGGCGGCUUACUGGACUGUAACUGACGUUGAGGCUCGAAAGCGUGGGGAGCAAACAGGAUUAGAUACCCCUGUA
rnacentral:rRNA from 1 species